AUUGAACGCUGGCGGCAUGCUUUAGACAUGCAAGUCGAACGGAAACGAUAGGUGCUUGCACCUAGGCGUCGAGUGGCGGACGGGUGAGUAACGCGUAGGAAUCUACCUUAUAGUGGGGGACAACUUGGGGAAACUCAAGCUAAUACCGCAUAAGCCUUACGAGGGAAAGGGGGCCUCUUCUUGAAAGCUCUCGCUAUUAGAUGAGCCUGCGUCUGAUUAGCUUGUUGGUGGGGUAAAAGCCCACCAAGGCGACGAUCAGUAGCUGGUCUGAGAGGAUGAUCAGCCACAUUGGGACUGAGACACGGCCCAGACUCCUACGGGGGGCAGCAGUCGGGAAUAUUGCACAAUGAGCGCAAGCUUGAUGCAGCAAUGCCGCGUGUGUGAAGAAGGCCUUCGGGUUGUAAAGCGACUUUCAAUCAGAGGAUGGCAGUUAUGGUUAAUAACCAUGAUUGUUG
rnacentral:rRNA from 1 species